rnacentral:rRNA from 1 species
AGUGAACGCUGGCGGUAGGCCUAACACAUGCAAGUCGAACGGCAGCACAGUAAGAGCUUGCUCUUACGGGUGGCGAGUGGCGGACGGGUGAGGAAUACAUCGGAAUCUACUUUUUCGUGGGGGAUAACGUAGGGAAACUUACGCUAAUACCGCAUACGACCUACGGGUGAAAGCAGGGGAUCUUCGGACCUUGCGCGAUUGAAUGAGCCGAUGUCGGAUUAGCUAGUUGGGGGGGUAGAGGCCCACCAAGGCGACGAUCCGUAGCUGGUCUGAGAGGAUGAUCAGCCACACUGGAACUGAGACACGGUCCAGACUCCUACGGGAGGCAGCAGUGGGGAAUAUUGGACAAUGGGCGAAAGCCUGAUCCAGCCAUACCGCGUGGGUGAAGAAGGCCUUCGGGUUGUAAAGCCCUUUUGUUGGGAAAGAAAAGCAGCAGGUUAAUACCCCGCUGUUCUGACGGUACCCAAAGAAUAAGCACCGGCUAACUUCGUG